UACGGAGGGAGCUAGCGUUGUUCGGAAUUACUGGGCGUAAAGCGCACGUAGGCGGCUUUGUAAGUUAGAGGUGAAAGCCCGGGGCUCAACCCCGGAAUUGCCUUUAAGACUGCAUCGCUUGAAUCCAGGAGAGGUGAGUGGAAUUCCGAGUGUAGAGGUGAAAUUCGUAGAUAUUCGGAAGAACACCAGUGGCGAAGGCGGCUCACUGGACUGGUAUUGACGGCUGAGGUGGCGAAAAGCGUGG
rnacentral:rRNA from 1 species